rnacentral:lncRNA from 1 species
GAAUUCUUUUGGUUCUUUGAUAUGCUGAAUCUAAACAUGUACUUAGAUUUUUGAUUAUGGGCCCAGUUUUCAAGUUGGUCCAAAUCAGGGUCCAAAAUUAUUAAUAUUAAGUAUUGUGCAAUAGCAAGAAAUUUUCAAUUGCACAGUAUUCCGCAAUAGCAAGAAAUUUUCAAUUGCACAGUAUUGUGCAAUAGCAAGAAAUUUUCAAUUGCACAGUAUUGUGGAAUAGCAAGAAAUCUUCAAUUGCAUAGUAUUGUGCAAUAGCAAGAAAUCUUCAAUUGCACAGUAUUGCGCAAUAGCAAGAAAUAUCUAAUUGCACAAUAUUGCGCAAUAGCAAGAAAUUUUCAAUUGCACAGUUUUGCGCAAUAGCAAGAAAUAUUCAAUUGCACAGUAUUGUCCUGUUUUCAAAUUGGUCUACAUUCAGGUCCAAAGGGUAAAAAAUUAAACUUUGUUUGAUUUCAACAAAAAUUGAAUAUAUGGGCGUUCUUCAAUUUGCUGAAUCUAACCAUGUAUUUAGAUUUUUAAUAUUUGGGCCAGGUUAUCAAAUUGGUCCACAUUGUGGUCCAAAGGGUCUUAAAUUGAACAUUAUUUAAUUUCAUCAAAAAUUGAAUUCUUGGGAUUCUAUGAUAUGCUGAAUCUAACCAUUAGAUUUUGGAUAUUGGACCAUAAUAGGUAAAUGUCCAAUUUAAAAUUUUCAAGUUUAAGUUCUUAGACCACAUUCAUUCUGUGUCAGAAACCUAUGUUGUGUCAACAUUUAAUCAUAAUCCACAUUCAGAGCUGUAUCAACCUUGAAUGUUGUGUUCAUACUUGCCCCAACUGUUCAGGGUUAGAUCUCUGCGGUCAUAUAAAGUGGCGCCCUGCGGAGCAUCUGGUUGUAUAAAGUUUGAUGAGACUGACACUCUACAAAGUGUUGUUACAUAUGGUUAGUAUGUAAACAACUUGUGAAUUCAUCAAAUUUACAUCAUACAUGAUAAAUUGUAUAAGUUCAUGGAUAAUACUGAUUAAAAUUAUGAUUUUUAAAAUUAUGAAUUUUGAAGAACAUUUUUAAAUAUGAACAUUUAGUGUUUGUCCAAAAUCUGUUAACUCAUCAUCUUUCUCUUUUGACUUGCAUGUUUUUGAUAAAAUGAUUGAAGGUAUAAGCCAAGGGACUCUGUCUCUCUUGAUUCUUCUCAGAAUGACUGGAGGUAUAAGGCAAGGGACUCUGUCUCUCUUGAUUCUUCUCAGAAUGACUGGAGGUAUAAUCCAGGGGACUCUGUCUCUCUUGAUUCUUCUCAGAAUGACUGGAGGUAUAAGCUUGUCUCUCUCUGAGAUUCUUCUCAGAAUGAUUGCCAAGGGACUCCGUCUCCUUGAUUCUUCUCAGAAUGAUGGAGGUAUUUGUAGGGACUCUGUCUCUCUUGAUUCUUCUCAGAAUGACUGGAGGUAUAAGUAAGGGACUCUGUCUCUCUAGAUUCUUCUCAGAAUGAUUGGAGGUAUAAGUAGUGGGUCUCAUUGGGGUCUAAGCGUGACGCGGGAUUGCCGAUUUUUUGUAAGCGU